rnacentral:rRNA from 1 species
AUGAAUCCUGAUGGGUCUGGUCAAGACAAAUUCACAACUAUAAUAAGCACUGUCUGUUAUAAUUUCAAGUCACUGUUUGCACUGACCUACCCUAACUGCAAUACAUUCAGCAUCAAAGACUUUGACUACAGAUUCGUUCCAGUUCCUAGAACUCAUUACAGGUUAACCAGUUUUGUUCUUAUGUCACUGACAAAUUUUCCUACAAUUCAAGCAAAUCGUGACCAAAUUAUUUUUCAAGUUAUGUAUUCUUUCUUUCUUACACUGGAUUUGAAUCUAACAUGCCAGAUAAAUUGUCUUCAUCACUGCAGGUACGACACAGGUGUCUUCCUACUUCAAAUUCUUAAAACAUAUCGUGGCAUGGGAGUUCCAGGAUUCUCUACUGUAAGAGUUUCUUAUUUCUAA